rnacentral:lncRNA from 1 species
CCUUGGGAUCUGCCUGCCUUGGCCUCCCAAAGUGCUGGGAUUACAGGCGUGAGCCACUGCACCUGGCAUAAUUUUGGCUACUCUUAAUCAACCCCAGAAGGUUUAAUAAGAACUUUGAUUAGCUACUUUCUAGCUUCAUGAAUUUACCAAGCUAUUCCUGGUUUUGCACCUUUAAGAAACUCAUUUUUUAAAUCUGAUGAAUAUAUGUCCAUAAGAAGCUUUACUUGGUUAAAAUUAAAUACAUACAAAAUUGACAGAAAAAUUAUUUUGUCAAAGAAAAAUGAACGAAGAGUAGUGUCAUUUUUCAUUGUCACAUUCAUUUCUCUAAGAAAUGGAUCUGUCCUUCAACAUCUCCUCCUAGCCCAUACUGUUUGAAUAUAGAGGGCUCUUGGGCCAUGGUCCGGGGAUUAUUUAUAAUCAGCAACAAGGGGUUACAGUGUCAUGGCUUACAAUUUGGUGGGGUGGGACCAGGGACUAGUUGGAGUUUUUUGUUUUGGUCGUCAUAAUUUAUUUGAAGCAGGGAGCUUGGCUCUCCACCCUUUGUACUUAUUAGUCCACCAAACAUCUGCCCAGUCACCACUGGGACUUUUAACACUCCAUACUUAUACAUGCUUGAUUUUUUGUGGUAUAGACAUAGACACUUAUCAACAUGGGCUAGCUUCUUUUGACCUUGCUCAUCUCCAUACGGGAUGACUGAACAGGCAUCAAACUGAAGGGUUAAAAAAUGACUAGCCUGAGUUACACUGAUGACAAGAUGACCUUCUGUUGAAAAGAAAAAAGAGAAUAAAUAAGUGAUUAUUAAGCUCUUUUUAGAGUUAAUUUGGUGGGGGUGGGCUGUGGAGUGACAGUUCAUGAUUCUGGAGGUGGCGGCACCUUCUUGACUCGGGUGUGAUGAGUCCAUCCUCUUUCUGUUGUCCAGACUGCAGUCUCAGUACAUAGGAGCACUAGGUAGGGUCCUUCCCAGGCUGGUUCGAGCUUCCUUUUCUUCUACCCUUGGAUGAGAACAUGGUCUCAAGGCCAAUGCUGAUGUUCUGGAAACUCCAGGGGUGAUGCCUGUGCUAGGAGACCUUUAGUCCCAAGGGAAAAGAAGGUAGAGCCUAGACCAAGUAUAUAAUUUUUGAGGAAAUGAUCCUUUGUUUCAAACAUAGGGAUGUCAGCAAUGGAGUGUAAGUAGGGCAUUCCAUAGAGCGUUUCCUCAGGUGACAGGCCAAUAUCUUUCCAAGGGGCAGUCCGGAUUCUUAACCAAGCAAUAGGAGUAUAUUUAGUCCAUGGCAAUCGAGUUUCUAAAACUAAGUUAAGUGGUUUAUUAGAGUCUGAUUCAUCCACUCUACUCUUCCUGUGGAGGAUGGAUGCCAAGGAGUAUGGUAUUCCCAAUGUAUAUCUAGUACCUGUGCUAACUUCUUAAUGACAUGCACAGUGAAAUGGGUUGCAGUAUCUGAAUCAGUAUUUUCUAUUAGUUCAAAUCUGGGUAUGAUGUUUUCAAUUAGCGCUUUAACUACAUUACUGGAGGUUGCACGUGAGAAUGGGAUUGCCUCUACCCAGUGGGUAAAAUGGUCUAUUAUUACUAAUAAGUAUAACUACCAAUUGGAGGCAUUUCAGUGUAAUUGAUCUGAACACUUUGAAAUGGUCUCAGUGCUGGAUUUCUUCCACCAAGGCGCAAUUUCCUUAGAUCCUGCUUAUUAGCUUUUUUUACAUGUUAAGCAACUAUCUAUAACUUGUUUGGCCAGGGUGUAAAUUCUUAUACACCCAUAAACCCGGAGAACUGCAUUGCACAUUGCUUGGGGUCCCCAAUGGGUCCCUUGAUGUAAUUGAGACAAGACUUCCCUCAUGAGAGGUUUUGACAACAUUUCCCUUUGAUCUGAUAAUAUCCAUUUCCUAUCCGCAUUUUCUUUAGCUCCUAUUUUUAUCAACGUCUUUUGUUCAAUGGAAGAGAAAACGGGUUACAGUAGGAGGAGGGCAUGGAGUUAAAUGGAAGAAAUGGCAACUUGUUUUGCUAUUUUAUUGUAACCGACUGAGUUAUAGAGAGAAUGCCACAGUCUGAGACUAAUUCAGUGAUCCUUUAUUGCCAGCAACCGAGAGACGGCUAGAGCUCAAAAUUCUCUCAGCCCCGAAGAAGGGGCUACACAUCUUUUUACACCUUGGUCUAAAGAGGGGAGGAGGAGUGUAGCUGAAGCAAUUUUUUACAGAAGCAGAACAGGCAAAAAAGUUGAAAGAUAAAUGGUUACAGAAACAGUAAUAAGAAAAUAAACAGUUCCAGGUGCAGGGGCUUAAAUUAUCACAAAGUGAUAAACGCAAAGGCUUUGGGCACCGUCAACCGAGUGCGUUCCCAGGAGCUGCUGGUACAGCUUGCCUCAGUAUCUUAUCAGUAAGCGCAUUCUUGGAUGUGCUUGGAGUCAGCUUGCACCAGUUAUGUCCUUAAGGGAGGGGGACAAGGGGCUGCAAGUGAAGAAACCAAAAUGGAGUCUGUCCAGCUCUCUCAGCUAAGAGAGAGUCAAUCAGGUUAAAAGAAGUUAGGGUAUCACAUUUCCCACUCGUGUUUGGGGGAAUCAGAUCAUUGAUUCCUCGGUUAUAACAAGGGUGUUAUAUUGGGUUCUAAGAUACAUAAGAUUGACAGAAGCUAUGCGUUGCUUUACAAAAUUAAGAAACCAAUUUAAUAUACAAGGCCUGAAGACUAACCCUAACAAGAGGAGGAGAAGGGGGUCCCGCCAACCCAGUAAUUAGAGUAGUUAGCCAGGGAUUCCAGUUAAACAUGCUUUGGUACUUUGGUACUCCAGGAAUGAGAAAGGUGGUGUUACUUUCUUGUUCCUUCUGGCAUCUAUCUAGAUUUUCUCGAACUCUUUGAAGAGUAUUUUUUAUGACUCCAGACUGAUUGGCAUAGAAACAACAACUUUCUUCUAGAGCUGUGCAUAAACCUCCUUGGGAGAUAAAUAGCAGAUCUAAGCCUCGGCGGUUUUGAAGAACUACUUCAGCUAGAGACUCUACCUGGGCAUGUAGUAUAUUUAUGGCUGAUUGGAGAUUGCUUAAAUCAGCAUCUACCUGUUGAGAUAGUGAUAUUAGUCCAGUUUCUCCUUGAAUCAGGGCAGUCGUGCCAAUAGCUGCUGACGUAGCUAUGCUAAGGCCAGCUAGAAGGGGUACAAGGAGUAGGGCAGCUCGGUGAAACCUGAAAUGCAAUUCAGGGGGAGCAAUGAGAAGUUGUCCUUCUGGCCCACUGUACAUGUAGAUCUGGGGGAGUACAUGAAUCAACAUGCAUAGGAGAGGUCCAGGUUCAGUCCCAUUGAUGCAGCGAGUGAGGCCUGAAAUGCAGGCCAACCAGGUAUUUUUGGGUGCCUGGUAGGAGACUGAGGGGUUUAAGGAAGUAAGGAGAGACUCACUACAAGUAGCCUGAAAGGGAGAAGCAGGUAAGUUAUACCUUGCGCUAAUUAGACAGAAGGCAUUCCCUGACACAUCUCCUAGUGUAAGGGCAUGGGGGCACGUAUGACAAGAAAGAGAGUCCAUUUUGAGCAUGGCUUCUACUCCUAAUCCAACAUAAUAUGGGGGUUUGGCCUUUCGGCACAACCAGCAAUCUCAGGCUAGUUUAGGCUUGGUGAGAUUAAGGAGGUGAUGUAUCCCGUCCAAAAUGGACAUCGGGCUGGGUUGGAGGUAUUGUCAUUGCAGCUGGGGUCUCAGAACCAGGAAUGGCAGUGGGACAGUUAAAUCGACUCUCUCUGGGUGUUUUUGGAACAUAGGGUCACCUAAAUCAGUUAAAGUUCUGAUUGGCUUCAUGGGACCAGGAAUUUUUUCUGGAUGGUGAACAUAGUUCCAACAUCAAAUCCUGAAAUAUAAAGCCUUAAUCCCUAUGACAUGCUGUAAUACCAUUGAGUUAAACUAGGGUUACGGAGAGUUAUAGUAAGAGGAUUACAAUUUCCUAUAGUACACGGCUUAGGAUGGGAAGCACAAGCUAUGGAAAGGGUUGAGGAUCAGGUUCAUCCUCCAGAGUAAGUGGCCAAGGUUACACACAUGCAGUAAGGGCAGAAAAACUGGUAAGAAUCUCGACAACUAGAGUCAGGGCGAUUUCCAGGACAAAGGUAAAAGUCAACGCUCUGGAGCCUUUUUUCUGCACCCUUAGAACUUCCACAUCCAGUUUGGCUUCUGGUGUGUCCGAACCCUGCAGCAAGGUCAGCGUUCCCUGCUCUCAUGAUCGGCAGAUUGCAUUGCUCUUCAAGGGUAUGGGCAGGGUCGGGGAACAAAGCACAUAAACCGACUACAAAAGAGACUUCCUUGGAGGGUCCCACCUUCCAAGUGGUGUUUGCAAACACACAUCCUGUCAUGAAGGAAGUGAGGAGAAAAGAGUAGGAAGGGGCAGAGGACAUAACAGGUGGAAACAGACAGAAGAGGUAAAUAAAAAGAAUUAAUUCGAUAGCUUUACUCAACUUAGGCGCAGUUUUAAGGGGCCUGGCCUAGGCUUGGGGACCCAUUUUUUUUGCUGGGCUUUGUUGGCCUUUUUGAUGCGAGAAUGAUGAAUCCAAGCAGGAGUGCCGUCCACCUUCAGAGCUGUUGGUGUGGUGAGGAUGACAGUAUGAGGUCCUUUCCAGGCAGGAGUCAGUCCUUUUUUCUGGAACUUUUUAACAUACACUAGGUCACCCAGCUGGAAAGAGUGGCAGGGCCCAGUCUGGUCAGGAACUGGGCUGGGGUGUGCUCCCCUGACAAGCAGCUGGAUGAUGUCUUGUACCCGUUGGAGAGACUGCAGGUACUGUAACAAGUUAGCUUGUGAGAUUUCUGCUAAAUGGGUAUCCUUUAGCUUAGGCAAGAUAGGCGGAGCCCUUCCAUACAUGAUUUCAAAAGGUGAAAACCCAGCCUGGUAAGGGGUGCAUCUUACUCUAAGAAGGGCUAAAGGAAGGAGCUUUACCUAGUUUUCACUGGUUUCUAGGAUUAAUUUUGCAAGAGUACUUUUUAGGAUGGGGUUCAUGCAUUCUACUUGUCCAGAGCUCUGGGGUCGAUAGGCACAAUGGAGUUUCCAUUGAAUGUUUAAUGCCUUGCUGACCGACUGAGCUAUGGACGAGGUGAAGGCUGGUCCAUUAUCAGACCUUAUUACAACAGGCAGUCCAUGUUGAGGGAUGAUUUCAUUGAGUAAAAGCUUAACUACCGUGGUAGCAGUUUCGUUUUUGGUGGCAAAUGCCUCAGUCCAUCCAGAAAAGGUGUCUACUAGCACCAGGAGGUAUUUAUACCCUGCCAAGUGUGGUUUUACCUCUGUAAAGUCAAUUUCCCACCUUCCUCCUGGCAAGCCUCCCUGGAGGCGGUGGCCUGGGCUGGGCUUAGGACCUUGCUUGGUGUUUACUUGGGCACAAGCCGUUUACUGGAGAGCUGCUUGGUUAGUUAAGUCCUGAAGGUGGGGGAUCUUGAAAUGGCUCCUUAGAAGCUGGGCCAGUUUUACUCCUCCUAAAUGGGUGGUAGAAUGUAGAUGAUUGAUAAAAGUUUCCCCAAGGGCUUGGGGCAUGAAGAUUCUGGAAUCAGGAAGAAUUCACCAACCUUCCUGAUUUUUACUGGCUUGAAGAUCCGAAGCUUGUUUUUCUUCCUCUGGGGAGUAUUCUGGGUAGUCUGCCCAGUCAGUUGUGGAAAGGACACAGAGGGCAGCAGGGUUAAAGGCACGACCAGGAGCUGAGCUGCCUCUCAAGCUGCAGAGUCUGCUCUUUGGUUACCACGAGCAAUGGCCAUGUCUUCUCUUUGAUGUCCUUUGCAGUGAAUUGCAGCCACCUGUUGAGGGAGCCAAACAGCUUCAAGCAGGGCUAAAAUUUCUUCUUUGUUGUUGACACUCUUUCCUGCUGAGGUAGGAAAUGCUGGGAAGAAAAAGCUGGGCCUUCUUGGCUGGGACCUGAUACCCGAAUUCCUGAAGGAGGUAAAGUAGGUCCGUAGUAUGUUGCAGGCAGCUGUCAGUAGUUUCAGUAGCCAAUAACAGGUCGUCUACAUACUGGAGAAGAGUGCAGUUAGGGUGACUGGCUCAGAAUGGUAAAAGAUCCUGUUGGAGGGCUUCCCUAAAAAGGGUGGGGGAAUUUUUAAAACUUCGGGGUAACCAAGUCCAGGUUAAUUGGGUGGUGUCUACCGAGCCAGGAUAUGUCUGUUCAAAAGCAAAGAUAGGUUGACUUUUGGGGCCAGAGGAAUAGCAAAAAAAAGCAUCCUUGAAGUCAAGGACAGUGUACACCAUAUGUUCUGGUGGGAGCAGGCUGAGUAAAGUAUAAGGGUUAGAGACAGUUGGAUGGACAGUGACUGUCUGCUUGUUACCUUCCUGCAAGUCCUGUACAGGCUGGUAAUCAUUUGUUCCGGGUUUCUGGACCGGCAAAAAUGGAAUAUUCCAGGCGAUCUCACAUGGUGUGAGUAUACCAGCUUGUAAUAGUUGCUGAAUAUGAGGAUUAAUUCCCUCUAUAGCCCACAGAAUCAUAGGAUAUUGUUUGACCUGGACCGGCAGGGUGGUGGCCAGGAGUUCUACAACAGCUGGCAGAUGGUGGUUUGCCAGUCCUGGGAGGUAUGAGGAAACAGAGUCUGUAAAGCCAGUAGGAGAGGAUUACUUUUAUUCUCCGGCAGUUGUGAGGGUGAAACUAAGAGAUAUUCCUCUGACCGAAGGGUGGUUAGCAGGAGCUGAGCAGUAGGGGGCAUUGUGUCCCCUAACAUGAGGUGAGUUUGUUGGGCCGAGAAGGAGAUGGACGCCUGUAGCUUAUGAAGCAGGUCUCAUCCGAGGAGGGAGAAGGGGCACUCUGGGACCACGAGGAACAAGUGGGUUACUCUUUUCUGUCCUAAACUCACCUCUCGUGAGUGGGUGACAGGAUAUUCCUGAAUAGCUCCAGUAGCCCUUUACUCAGCAACCUUUUUAUUAGACACUGCCUAAGGGUGUCUGGAGUACUGAGUGUUCCACCCCGGUGUCAAUUAGGAAGCGUACAGGCUGGCCCCCCACUGUGGUGGUCACCAUGGGUUCCCGGGGCCAAGUGACAAAGAGCCCUGGCCCCGUCAAUCAUCAGAUUCCUCUGCUGCGGGGCAGGGUGAGGACCUUUUUCUUUUCUGGUUUCUCCUCUGGCUUUAAUGGGCAUUCCUUUCUCCAGUGUCCAAUCUGCUUGCAAGAAGCACAUUGGUUUCUUUAUAGGGGAGUCCUCUCACGUUUCUGGCCUUCCUGGUGGGGACUCGGGGUCCCCUGGUCAGUGCUCUGUGAUGGGGGCCCUUCCUUUUUGGCUUCUUGGAUGGCAGCCACUAAGCUUUUUGCCUGUCUUUUUGAUGCUUUGUCUGCAGCCCUUUCAGCUGCCUGAGCUACCUGUUUUUGCUUUUCAAAUUCUCGAUUGUCGAAAACUCUCUGGGCUAUCUCUAAAAGCUGGCUGAUGUAAGGAAAUACUUUCUGGCUUCUCUUCAGAUAUGGUCCCUCUCUUCAGAGGUGAAAAGGGAUGAAAGGAGUUGCUGACACUCAUCCCAGGUGGGCCGGUGAGUCUGGAGCACAGACUCCAUCAGUGAGGUUAAGACCUGGGGCUUUUCAGAAAAGGGGGGAUUAUGAGCCUUCCAGUUGUACAGGUCAGAAGUAGAGAAGGGGACAUAAACUAAAAAUGGAGCACAACGCCCACUGCCCAAAGGGAUUUGGGCCUCUGUCAGUGGGAGGAGCGGGGCCACCUCCUCCGGCUGAGGCCAUAAUUGGGAGGAUAUAGGCAGAGAGGCCACAGAGGAUGUAGUUGAGGAGACAAGGGAAGAUUCUGGGGGAGGAGGAGGGUUAUAGGGUGGUGGAAAUGGGUGAAGAAAACUUUCCUCUUCUUCAGAAGGAGGCAGUACAGGAGGAAUCGAGGGAGCUGAGGGUGGAGGCAAAAGUGAGGUCUGGCUAAAAAGGACCUUGGAGGUAGGAUCACGAAUGGCUACAGAGUUUUAUCACGAGUGGAGCCAUGAAGGAGAGCUCUGGACUAAAUCUAGCCAUUGAUCAAUGUAGGGAAACUGAUCGGGGUGACCGGGAGUUCCAACAACGACCCACCACACAGCCUGAACAGCUGUGAAGUGUAGUGACCCGUCUGGGGGCCACCCAGUUCCAAACUUUGGCCAUUCUACUUCGCAGAGUGUCCAGAGUUUGCCUUUUUUAAGGCGGACCCCGUAAUCAUCUGAGAAGCCUAGAGAGAAAUUCUGCAACAUACACUGGAGAGGACUCCAAUCUUUAUGGGGCCGGGAAGAAGAGUUUACUAUUCUGGAGGCAAUUAACAAGGAAAGGCAGGACUGGGAUGGCCAGCCCAACCGACUAAUGAGGAAUUUGACCUCCUGGGAUAGAAAAUCUGUACUAAGGACCUUGAAGAAGUCCUUGCCCAGUCAUUUUGGGCAGUAUCGACGAUCCGACAUAUGAAAUUUAGACAGACACUAAACAGGACAAUAGGCACUGGGGUAUAUAAACAAGCAUGGCAAUUUUUAUAGACAGACAAGGGGAGGGGGUCCCGUGAUGGGAUCAGUCAGAUGCCCUCCUGGCUGCUCCCCUUUCGGGGACUUAGGCUCCUCUUGGCAUUGGCAGGCUGGUAUAAACCCCUGGCUUGGAUCGAGCUAUGCCUGAUGCCGCCCUAAGCCUUAUGAGGUCACCACGGAACCACAGGUGAGGGCCUUCUCGAAUUCCCUAGCUUUCACCCUGGAGCUACAAACUGGAAAUUCAAGCGCAAGCCCUUGAACUCCACAUUCACUCACUCACUCACUCACUCAGAGUUUAUUACAAUUUUUAUACCCAUUCUAAAACAGAGAUCUCCCGGAGACCUGAAUGAGAGAGGGAGAAGAGAUAGAGAGAGAGAGAGACUAGACUUAACAGAGAAUCCUGACAGAAACCAGGACUCUGUCCUCCAGUGUCCUGGAGCAUGGACAGAGUCUGAGGGAGGACCUUCGUCAGGGCCGUUUCCCUCCCAGAGAGACAGAGUCAGAUCUGACUUACCUUCCCGGGACUAGAGACUGAGGACUCAGGAGUUGAAUUUGGCUGGGCGCACCGGCAGUCGAUCCGUUCCCCUCCAGAAGACAGUGGCCUGUGGAGCCCUGGAACGUCUUCAGGUGGCCCUGUAAGCCAGCUGUCUGUCUGGGGAAGCCCGGAAUGAGUCAGGUCUUCACCCGGUGGCGAAUCUCUCUGGGGCUUCCAAAUGUCGUAACCGAGCAAGUCAUAGAGAGAAUGCCACACUCUGAGACUAAUUCAGGAGUCCUUUAUUGCUGGCGACUGAGAAAGAGCUAGAGCUUGAAAUUCUCUCGGUCCGGAAGAAGAGGCUAGAGUUCUUUUUAUACCUUGGCCUAAAGAGGGGAGGGGGAGUCUAGCUGAAGCAAUUUUUUACAGAAGCAGAACAGGAAAAAAUUAAAAGAUAAAUGGUUACAGAAACAGUUACAGGAAAAUAAACAGUUCCAGGUGCAGGGGCUUAAAGUAUCCCAAAGUGAUAAAAGCAGGGGCUUUGGAUACCACCAACCAAGUGUGCUCCCAGGAGCUGCUGGUACAGCUUGCCUCAGUAUCUUAUCAAUAAGCGCAUUCUUGGAUGUGCUUGGAGUCAGCUUGCACCAGUUAUGUCCUUAAGGAGGGGGACAAGGGGCUGCAAGCGAAGAAACCAAGCUAAGACUCUCUCAGCUAUUGACUCUCUCGAUAUUGACUCUCAAUUGAGUCUCCCAAGCUAUUGACUCUCUCAGCUAAGAAAGAGUCAAUCAGGAUAAAACAAGAUAGGGUAUCACAAUUUGAUCUGCAAGAUUAUUUCCUGGACUUGUGAAAGGCGAGUCGUUUUGGUGCCCUGGGACAUGUACAAUAGCUAUCUCUUCUGGCAAUUGGAGAUUGUUGAGGACACGAGCAUCAGUUCUCUAUGAACUAAAUCUUGGCCUCUACUAUUGAUAAGAGCCCUCUCCAUCCAAAUUUUCCCAAAUGUGUGUGCCUCCCCAGAGGGAUACUUAGAGUCAGUAUAGAUAGAUUUUCUUGGUUUUGUAAAUGUCCUAAAGCUUGGCUGAGUGCAAACAGUUCACACCCUUGGACAGACCAAUUAUUAGACCCCCUUCCUGAUUUUACUUUUUUAACAGUCUUUCCAUUAAUCACUGAAUACCUAUUAUGUCUCUUUCUUUUAAUCACCUGGGAGGUUCCAUCUAUGAAUAAGUGCCACCCUGUCUUGAAGGGAGUUUUUCCUAAGUCUGGUUGAACUUUCGUAUGGUAAUUAAUUCGAUUUAAACACGCGUGCUCUCUCGUUUUACGUUUGGAUCCCCCGUUAAAGAGCCUGCUGAAUAAAGUGAAUUAUUAGUACUUAAUAUUAAAUCACCUUUUUCCCAGAAAGAUAGCCUCAUAUUUUAAAAUUUUUGAGUUGGUAAUCUCCCUCCUUGCGUUUUGAUUUAAUAUAGUUUUAACUUGGUGGGUUGUGGCCUGAAGCGGCUGGGGAGUAACUUGAAACCUCAGCUGAAGGGACAGCACAGGCUGGGGCGUGGCCUGAAACAGCUGGGGAGUAACCUGAAACCACAGCCGGAGGGACCUGAGAGGGGAACCAAAGGGGCAGGAUUGGGGGCGCUGAAGGAAGGAAGGUGAUUUAGAGGAUCCCAUGUCUUGGUAGGUAUGGGUUGUCUAGGCAUGGGAACUCUUUCCUUUUUAGAAAGGUUGGUUUCUGAUUUUCUCCCUCCAGAGUCUAAAGGGUAAAGGAGAACUGGUCCCUGCCGCCAGCAGAGGGCGUAAUCGAUUUUUCCUGGGACACAGGGCUCUUACUGUUAACAUAUUUGAUUAACAGCUGACAAAUUCGCUCUUCAUUAGACUUAAAUUUUGGCCAGAAAAGUGAGGGCUUAAGGAUGGGUUCUCGAACUUAAAUAAAACAACAAUAUUCUAUCAUCUGCUGUUUUUGUUUAUACUUGGUUCUCUUAUUAUUUUUUCAAUACUUUAGCAUAAGCCCCAAGGGGCUAUCAGAAGGAAAUUCAUCACUCUCUAGACUCUUUAGUUUUCCUGUCUUACUUGAAACGUUCCCCAUCUUAGGGAUUAUGGGGAGGAGGCCCAACCCCUCCUGUGAGAUUUCUACCCUCCCCCUUCCUGGAGGCUUACUGAGGCUUUGGGGAAAGGCUCCAACCCAACCUGUUUGGAUUUCUACCCUCCCCCUUCCUCUUUGUCUACUCUGUCUGUUCCUGACUCUAGUUGACAGAUGGCAGCAUGAGGCCAUAGAGAAGACUCACUCACUCCACAUAACCACCAUACUAAGUCCCAUUCAUACACUGUCAGCCUCCAGCUUAUCCCAACCACCUGGGAAAUACUUUGUCACCUUCGCCAAGUCUCCUACCUUAUUCCAUGCACAAGAAUUUCCUGGUCCUCUUAUUGUUGCGGUCUUGCAAGCUUCUCCUCCCCGCUUUGCUGAGAUCCAGACUUAUUUGUCACAAAGCGGGGGGGGGGCCCUGAUCUCCCUCAACCUAGGGGCACGGUAACUAGACAGUAGGAUGCGUCCCCUCCGGGUGGGGUGACCGAAGGCCCCCUUCCCAAAGGAGAAGAUUCGAGCCCCAAAGUUGGGCUCCAGAACUGUUAGGAAUAACGCUCAAAAUCUUAAGGAAAUUGAACACUUGAACAAAGGAUUCUUAGCAAAGCAAUUUUACUUCUGCGCAGAGAGGUGCCUCCUUGUCCAGUCGCCAUGAGAGCACACCUGAAAAAGGGGCACGAGAGCCUUUACUCCUGACACAAGUACUGCCCCUGUACCCUUUCUCCAUUGGCCAGGGUCAGGUCGUACAAUCUAAACUAAUCCUGGUUGGCUAAACAUUGGAUUUUUUUUAGAUAAGGUGGGCACGUAAAAAAGGCAGAGAAUAAAGGGGAAGGGGUGUCUGUAAUGAGCUAAAAAGUUAGUCCUCUUUCCAAAUAAGGAAAGGAAUGUGAGCAGGUACAGAUACCACCUGGUACUGUGGCAUGCCUGGGCAUGUAACAAAGGAAAAAAGAGAAAAAAGGAGAAAAAGGAAAAAAGGUGGAGGGAUUA